ACACACAUACCGAUAAUAAUUGUACCUGCAGGUAUUGGUGAUUGAUGGGAAGAUGCAGAGUGCAGAAGUGGACGAGUUUAUGUAUCGUGAAUGCUUAAUACAUCGUGCCCUUUUAUCUCACCCAAAGUCCGUCGUCUAUAUUACUAAUGUUGCGUUCCAUUUCCAUUUGUUAAUACUCCAUAUCUAAUAUGUAUGUACUUUUAUAUAUAAUUCUGCAGGCCUAAGAAUGUGUUCAUUAUGGGAGGUGGGGAAGUGUCAGCUGCAAGAGAAGCUCUUAAGCACAAAUUACUUGAAAAAGUGGUUAUGUGUGAUAUAGAUUAGGUUACUAAUCAGCACAAUAUAUAUGCUCGAAUCAAGUUAUCUUACAUUUUCGUUGAAUUCAAUAAUGUCUUUCCCAUGAGCCAUAUGUGUUACUUUCAACUAGCUAGUAGCACUUACACUUGUUCAUGUCUUGUAUAUAACUACUUCCUAUGAAUAACAAGAAAAAUAUUGUGCCAUUUGACAGUGAACAAGGAGGCCUUUGCUCACAAUAAGCUUAACCUUGUUUUCAAUGAUGCCAAGAAAGUUCAAAGCUCUAUUUUGUUUACUGGUGGGAUUCAAUCUGUAAUCACUACCUCACACAUUGUUGGUCUGAACUUAUUUGGUAUAAUGCUCAUAUAAAAGAUUUUUCUAUGGUUGUGACUACGAGUGUAUAACUUACAGAAAUGUUUGCUAUAUAUGAAAGGGCUGACUAGAAUAAGAGCCGCGAAGAAUUCGAUAUUAUAGUGGGACAUUUAGCAGAACCAGUUGAAGGAGGGCCUUGCUAUCAGCUUUACACAAAAUCCUUCUAUGAGAAAGUCCUCAAACCCAAGCUUAAUCAUGGUGGCAUUUUUGUGACCCAGGCUGGACCAGCAGGCAUUUUCACCCACAUAGAGGUCUUUACAUCCAUAUUCAACACCAUCAAACAGGUCUUCAAAUCUUCAGAAAAUGGACAAUUUCCUCUUUCCCUUCGAGUCUGUGAGGGACACCCCAAUAAGCUCCGUAAUCAAAUUUGUGAUGCAGUGCUUGAAUUUUUGUGUAGUAUGAUAUAUAAUGUAUAAGCUCCACAAUCAAAUUUCUGAUGGAGUGCUUAAAUUUUCUAUAGUAUGAUGUAUAA